rnacentral:rRNA from 1 species
CAGUCGAACGAGAGAGAGGGAGCUUGCUUCCUUGAUCGAGUGGCGAACGGCUGAGUAACGCGUGAGGAACCUGCCUCAAAGAGGGGGACAACAGUUGGAAACGACUGCUAAUACCGCAUAAGCCCACGACCCGGCAUCGGGAAGAGGGAAAAGGAGCAAUCCGCUUUGAGAUGGCCUCGCGUCCGAUUAGCUGGUUGGUGAGGUAACGGCCCACCAAGGCGACGAUCGGUAGCCGGACUGAGAGGUUGAACGGCCACAUUGGGACUGAGACACGGCCCAGACUCCUACGGGAGGCAGCAGUGGGGAAUAUUGCACAAUGGGGGAAACCCUGAUGCAGCGACGCCGCGUGGAGGAAGAAGGUCUUCGGAUUGUAAACUCCUGUUGUUGAGGAAGAUAAUGACGGUACUCAACAAGGAAGUGACGGCUAACUACGUGCCAGCAGCCGCGGUAAAACGUAGGUCACAAGCGUUGUCCGGAAUUACUGGGUGUAAAGGGAGCGCAGGCGGGCGAUCAAGUUGGAAGUGAAAUCCAUGGGCUCAACCCAUGAACUGCUUUCAAAACUGGUCGUCUUGAGUAGUGCAGAGGUAAGUGGAAUUCCUAGUGUAGCGGUGAAAUGCGUAGAUAUUAGGAGGAACACCAGUGGCGAAGGCGACUUACUGGACUGCUACUGACACUGAGGCACGAAAGCGUGGGGAGCAAACAGGAUU